rnacentral:lncRNA from 1 species
CAAAUAUUUUAAGGGAAGAUUAGUGGCAGAGGAAUCAUCUAAGAAAACUGAGGAGGAUCUGCAAGAGUGGGAGAGAACCAAAGACAGCAUUGUUAUGAAGACAUGAUCCUGUCAACUGUGGAGAGAAUGGGAGAGAAGAAGAUGGGCACAGGGACAGGGACUGUGGGCCUCCUAUUCAAAAAGGACGGCAGGAAAUUGGCAAGUGAAGAGGGGAAACAAGAACUAGGCAAUCAGGUGGAUGUUUUUGGAAAGCUGAAUAGAGAAUUAUUUGAAAAGUGGUAAGAUGGAAUAAAGAAGAAUACCUAAGGAAGAUACUGUAAACCACUAGAAGAGCAACUGGGCAAGAGACACACCACUUCCUCUGAGGCAGGAGGUGAGAGGUAGGUGAAUUGGAAAGCAAGGCAUGGGAAAAGUGAUUUGCUCGUUUUAUAAGCUCAGUUAUAAUUUUAACAAGUUAUGUGAGAUCUUGUUAGGGUAAUGAUAAUAAAUGGCUCAAAAGCAAAAUCCUCCCUUUCCUCACAGGGAACUUAAUGCAUAAAGAGGACAAACAGAGAAGCACAAUUCACAAUAGCUAAACUGUGGAAUCAACCUAGAUGCCCUUCAAUAGAUUAAUGGAUAAAAGAAAUGUGGCAUAUAUAUAC